CUUGUGUGUGUGUGUAUAUGUGCAGAGCCACUGGGAUAGUGACGACAUAAUUUUAAAAGUUUACAAAGAAAUCCACUCAAAGCAGCAAAAGUGGCAGUGUUUGGGUGCGUAAUUCUUGUAAACCCUUUUUUGUUAAUGUUUUGUAUUUUUUUUUUUUUGUGCAGCGUGGCACAUUUGUUGUUAGCUGUUUGUUGAAAUUUACAAUUUUUGUUUUGUUUUACUCCCGUCUUACCUCGAACCUUUGCUGUAUGCAUCAGCAAGCUGCAAUAAAAACUAUUCGCACUAAAUACACGCACGCACUAUAACAGAAAUUCGAACAAGAAUACUUAGAUGGCUCAAAACAAAAAAAAAAAAGAAGAAGAAACUAAGUGGAUGUAAAACAGUUAUUUGUUUAUAUGAGCACCCUGUUUGCGCACAUUUGUCGACUCAAAACAGCGUGAAUAUAAAUGAAAGUGUGCUCUUUCGCAAUGUUGCAUCUUCAUUAAAAAUUUAAAAAGCGUAAAUACCUACAACGCUGCCACAACCGGUGCCCACACACACACACACACACACACUAGUUAGCGAUCUACUAGCGCUGCAAAAAUGUAAUGAAUGCAGCUUCUCAUAGCGCUUAAGCUGAAUUGGCAGCGUUGUUGCCAUUCAUAACACUGCCGCUACCGCCACCCACAUCGCCACCAACACAUACACGCAUCUGUGCAAACAAAACUUGUCGACUUGUCUAACCUCGCUCGGUUACCUGAACUGCUGAGAGUCACUGGUUAACAAACAUGCAUAUAUGUAUGUAUGUACAUAACAGCUCGCGCUAACUUAUGCGCUGUUUGAGGCUGCAAACUGCAAACAGAAGAGGCCUAUUUCAUUUUUCGUUUUGUUGGUGUUGUUGUUGGGAAGCAAGGCAGCUCAAAGCUAGUUGAAUCUGACUGAAAGGAAGUAAGGUCGUGAAUGGUUGUAGCGGUGGCAAAGGAGGUUGGCUAAAGCGAAGGUAAAGCAAUUCAACAAUCAUCGAGCAAACAGCAAGCCAGUCGGUCAGACGGGUGGACGGGUAGAUAGGCAGUCAAACCAACGAAGAACCAACCGCUCAGAGUUACAGCCAACCAACAAGUCAGCCACCCAACCAGGCCAGCCGCGAAUUUUGUGAAUUGGCAUAGUCUACUUUCCCCGCAAGCAGUUCGCUAGCCUUAGAGCUAUGCACGACAGGAAACCAUAGCAGCUGGUCCAACAAACAUACAUACAUAUGUACGUACUAAAUACAUACUGAUAGCAAUAGCUGCAGUAAUAGUCACGGCGGCAGUAUUAUCGUAACCGCCAGCAUGUAAAUAUGUAUGUACAUAUGUAUGUAUUUAUGUAUAGAUGCAUUUUAGUAUGUUUGUGAAUGCUUUAGUAGCGACUCUAAUCGCUAUGAGUCACUAUUGCGCUAUCCAUGCGCUGUAAAUAAACAAAUUUACCUAAAUUCGUGCAUAAUGGCGACUUAAAAAAUAUUUGCUUUUAUUAGGGAGUCACUGAUUCUUGCGAAAAAAAUUAAGUCUUUAAUGAUAUCAGGCAUAUGAAAUCUUAAAAAAUGCAAAUAAAUAUUUCAAUUAAGAUUCGUAUAUUUUGGAAGUUUCUAUUUGUAAAUUAAUGUAAUGUUAGCACAUUAUCUACAAUAAGAUAGAUAAAAUAUCAUCAAAUAUAUCGAUACAUAUGUACUUCUACAAAUAUUGUACCAACAUAACGAUAUCCAUAUCGAUGAAAAUAUAUAAAAAAACUACGAUAACCGAUUAAUUUCGCAUACAAUAUAGAUAUUUCAACAAAUUUUUCGAUUAAUCUAUCGACAGUUAUACAAAUAAAGUCUUUGAAAACACUAUACAUACACAAUAAAUUCAUUGACAUUAAGUUGUAAUUUUAUACGUUUCUUAGUAAUUAAGUAUUUACUUUUUUUUUGUGUUUUCUUUAAUAAACUUUAAUAUUAAGAGGCUCUCCUAUAUAUCGAAUAUUUCUAUAACUCGAAUCGGUUCUGCAAUCAUUACCUCGAAUUAUCCAGUUUUGACUGCACUUGCAAGUGAAUCUGAGAGACAAAUUUUCUUUGAUGAUAUAAGUAUAUCUAUAUAUCUAUAUAUAAAGUUUUGACUUCGACGCUGACCUCACUCUCUCAUGAACAAAUCCUCUUCAACAAAGCUUAAAUAAGUGCAGUAAAAUACAAGUUAAGAUCGUGUGUACUGGAAGUAAACUCGUGUGAACUUUUGAAAAGCCUACCAAAAACUUGUAUGCAAUAUUGGGACCUUAUACCUGGAACUGUCGCUAUACAUAUAUUAUAAGAUCACUGGAAAGUAUUGGCAUUUAUUCAAAAGCAUCUAUUUACUGCAUCUAUGGUCAAUUUUUUGUUUUCGUAAUAUUACGCGAGAGUAUGUCGGCUUAUGUUUUUUUUUUUUUUGAGUAUGUUGACACGCGGAAAUCAAGCUGCCCAACUCUGAACUGAAAAACUGCGAGCAGACAAGUAUAUACAUAGGUACAUAUGUAAGCUUCACAAAUUUUUCUGUUUUCUACCGAAGCUCAUUUUUUUGGGCUUUCUACCCAUUUCUGAAUUUAAGGAUGUGUCACUAAAUUAAAGCUGCUACUUUUAAAAUUUUUGUUUUAUUUUAUAGUAAAAAUUCAAACGGUAAUGAAUGUGGAAAGGGUAACCGGCAGGCUAAAUCCGGAAAUUGCAAAGCACUCUUCCUAGCCACUACAGGGUACAGCAGCACUUGUCAAGCCUACAAAUAAUUUGCACUGACCUGUACAGGUUGUGCCACUAGAAACAGGGAACAGCAGAGCACAUUCGGUGCAACAGUGACGCCUUCUCCAGUGCUGCCGUUUUCUAUAUUUUUUUUGUAGUAGUAAAAAACGUAAAUUUUUGGGAAUAUUUUGCUGUUUUGGGAAGUAGACCCCAAAUGUUUUAAAAAUCUUUCAAACUUAAGUUAAGGCCACUUAAAGCUUUAAAAUAAGGUAAGUGUCGUAUAGAGUGAGAUGGAAAUUAUUGAGAAAGAUAACUAGACGUGGAUCUCAAUGUCCAAGCAGUCCUCAAGGACAGGGACAAUAUGAUGCAAAAAAGUGAGAGGCCUUGGACCAAACCUAACCUUCAAACUAGGUACUUCUAAACUAGACUAUGCAGGCCUCAUCUAAAUUGUAAUGUUAGUAAAUGUAACGAACUUGUUUUACUUUAAAUACUCGUAAGUGACAGGUCACACGGGAAUACCUGCUGAUUUAGUUGCAAAAGCCAAAGGUCGCGGAUUUCCUAGCCCAAACCAGUUGUAGCACUCAGUAAUGACAGGGAGGCUUCGAGGGGGGAAGCAGUCAUUAAGCAAGUGGUAUACCUAAGUGGUGACUACUUGAGGCACGAAACACUGGAUGCGGUUGGAAUACUUAACACCCUUAUUUGCCCUUCCUGUCUUGAAGAAGAAGAAGAUGAAACUGCUACCCCUUUUAGUGUUUCGGUCCCGCCUGCGCAAGUAUAGCCUAUGAGUAAAACUCCACAACAAACUUUAGUGUGUAGCGUAGUGUGUUCGGACCGACAAACGAGCUUUUCUUCCAAGAGUAAUAUGUGAGCCCCGAUUACACGAGACUCAUUACUAACCUAAACCAAUAUAAAUUCAUCACUGCAGUCAAAAGUUUAAAAUAAUGCUGGUAUAUGGCUUAAGAAACUUGUAUCAAAACGACAAAUUUUUUUCCGUCGAGUACUACGCCAAGUGCGCCCAAUCACUUGCACAUUAUCGAUUGUUAUUGGUGUCUUAUUUAAUUGAUCAAACGCGGGAAUACAUGGCGUAUGAGUAACAAAAAUUUCUGUGUUUAUAUGGCAUAUAAAAAAUUAAUUAUUUAAUUUAACAAUCGCUGCAAUUAUUAAUUUAUUUUUUUUCUACAAAACGAAUGUUCUUCCAUCUUGAUAGGAUGGAAGGCAUCUCAAAGAUAGAACAAAAAUUACUACUGAAAUUCGCACAAGGCUUUGACAUCCUUUGUGAUGUCUACUCUCAACGUCUAAAAUCGAACUCUAACUCACAACGUGGGGACUUAUGCUCUAUGU